ensembl:snRNA U2 U2 spliceosomal RNA
AUCACUUCUCGGCCUUUUGGCUAAGAUCAAGUGUAGAAGCUAAAGGGAAGUAAAAUGAUUCUGUUCCUGGUCACUAAUUGCAAUCUUAUCUUCUAUACCUGAAAUUCUGUCCUCUCAUUGGCUCAUUCUGCUGUGUAGACUUUCAAUGGAGUUUUUCAUGUCCUGGAAAUCUAUUUGCAUCUGUUUUAUGGAUUCCAUU